rnacentral:rRNA from 1 species
AUACGUAGGGAGCAAGCGUUAUCCGGAUUUACUGGGUGUAAAGGGCGCGCAGGCGGGCUUGCAAGUUGGGAGUGAAAUCCCGGGGCUCAACCCCGGAACUGCUUUCAAAACUGUGAGUCUUGAGUGAUGGAGAGGCAGGCGGAAUUCCCCCUGUAACGGUGAAAUGCGUAGAUAUUGGGAGGAACACCAGUGGCGAAGGCGGCCUGCUGGACAUUAACUGACGCUGAGGCGCGAAAGCGUGGGGGGCAAACAGGAUUAGAUACCCUGGUAGUCCACGCCGUAAACGAUGGAUACUAGGUGUGGGGGGUAUUGACCCCCUCCGUGCCGCAGUUAACACAAUAAGUAUCCCACCUGGGGAGUACGGCCGCAAGGUUGAAACUCAAAUGAAUUGACGGGG